rnacentral:lncRNA from 1 species
ACCUCAGCCAGAAGACUAAUGGUAAUAAUAAGAGUUUGAAUAAAUGCAAUUCCUUGAUCUUUUUAUUAUUAAACCCCUCGAUCUUCUUAAUAUUGUUUUCAUACUAUCGAUAUAUGGAGCCCUAGUUCAAGAGCCAUAGAGCCACAUACUGACGGGUAACUGGAGCAUCAUGGACUGAGGGGCAGGCUCUGUUUUUGUCUAUAUGACAUAAUAGAAUUAUUGGGAUGCAUAAUGCAUAUAUAUUACCAUCUUGUGAUACAAAUACUUAAUCUCACUUAGAAAGCUAGGUUUGAAAGCUUCAUGAAUUUAAAUUGGCUUUAUACAUGUAUAACACACAAGCAAUGUGCCACUUGAUCACAUGUCAAAAGCCCUCCAAUCAAAGCUAGAGUUACAUCAUGGAAAGACUGAAGGAACAUCCUCUAAUCAAUAACCCUUGAUUCAAUGAAUAAUGCAAGUGUUUGAAUUAUUGAAAUCAAAACCCUCCUCCACCUCAAUUCAAGGUAAUACAAAGAGCUAUCAAUUGGGCUAAAUACUUGUAGUGUCCAUAAGGUUCUCCCUUUCUUCCCUUCCACUUUAUUUUAAUGUUUAAUAAGAGCCUUCUUGCCCGGUGAACUUAAGGGCAUAUUUGGUUGGGGAUAAUAUUCAAAUUCCAUGGGAGAAUAGGAAUGUGCCUCAAUCUCAUAAAACUCAAUUCCUAUUUUCUCUUAAUAUUCAAAUUUUAUUUUAAUUUAAAUUUAGAUUUCGAUCAUGAAUUAAAUA